CAGUUGGGAAAAUGAAACAGUCCCGGAGAUGAAUAGUGAUGUUGGCCACACAAUGUGAAUGGAUUUAAUGCCACAGAGUUGAAAAAGGUUAAAAUGACAAACUUUAUGUUAUGUUUAUUUUUCCACAGCUUUUUAGGGACUUUCCUGGUGGUCCAGUGGUUAAGAGCUGCUUGCCGAUCGAUCCCUGGUCUGGGAAGAUCCCGCAUACCAUGGAGCAACUAAGCCCGUAUGCCACAACUACUGAGCUGGCUCUCCAGAGCCCCGGCCCUGCAGACCACUGAGCCCCCGCGCUGACCUGCCGGAGCCUGUGCGCCUCGAGCCUGUGCUCCGCAACGAGAGAAGCCCCCACGACGGGAAGCCCCUGCGCCGCAGCAAAGAGCAGCCCCUGCUUGCCGCAGCUAGAGAAAGCCCGUGUGCAGCGAUGAAGACCCAGCACAGCCAAAAAAAAAAUUCCAAAAAUAUCAUAAAAAGGUGAACAAAGGAGGAAGUCUGUCUGCUUAGCCCCCUGUCAGCUGUCUUCCAGAAGCUCUUCAGACCCAGCGGAUCCUGAAAGUUAUUGGUGAAACCAUCCAGGCAUGCAUGACUUUUCUUUGGUUCUUCCAGGUCCCAGUGUGCACCAGAUUUGUGGGUGCCCUCCAAGAGUGGCAUUUGUUACCUCCAGUCCUAUGGAGUUCCUGUGAUCAAGCCCUGCUGAUGCUGCUAAGUCACUUCAGACGUGUUCGACUCUGUGUAACCCCAUAGA